rnacentral:rRNA from 1 species
AUGGUCGGCUUUCCGAACGCCACCACCUGUGCUCUCCUCCACCUCGUCAUCUUCUUCUACCUUGCUACCCCUGCCAUCUCCUUGUCCUUCAACUACUCCACGUUCAGCAAAGCAGACCAGAAGGACAUCAAGAUCGAAGGCGACGCAUCCUUCAACGGCGACACAUCCACCGGAGAUAUCGACAUGAGCGCAAACAUGUACGGUAGCAUCUGCCGGGCGUCGUACAACGCCCAGCCGGUGCAGCUCUGGGACAAGGCGACCGGCCAAGUGGCCAGCUUCACCACGCGGUUCGAGUUCCUCAUGUACGCCUCCAACAACGGCAAGGUGGGCAUGGCCUUUUUCCUCGCUGGCUACCCGUCUAGCCUGCCGGCCGACUCUCCUGACUACAACCUCGGCCUCACUAACCAAAGCGCGGACGCCGUGGCAUCCGGCGAUAGCCAGUUCGUGGCAGUGGAGUUUGACACCUUCAACAAUGGCAAUACAAUAGUAUCCGACCCCUACGACCACAUCGGCAUCGACGUCAACUCCCUCAGAUCGGUGAGCACACUGCCCCUGCCAAGCUUCACCCUCACGAACGCGCCCAUGACCGCUGCGAUCGAGUACGAUAAUGCUUCCAGCAUCUUAGCGGUGACGUUAUGGGUCGUGGAUGGCCUCAGCAAUUACCGACAGAGUUACAGCCUUAGCUCUAAGGUUGACCUCAAGAGCGCACUACCGGAGCAGGUCUCCAUUGGUUUCUCCGCAUCCACAUCCAACGUCAACCCAUUGCAGUCUGCAUUUAUGAGUAUAGUGCUACAGUCUUGGUACUUCAACUCUUCGCUGGAACCACGGUCAGCACCACCACCACACUCCCCGGCAGGGCCAGGUUCUGUAGUUAUAGCUGGAGCAGUUGUCGGCGCGACAAUGUUCCUUGUGUUGCUCUUCGCAGCUGCAGUGGCUCUUGUAGUGCGCCGCCGUCGUCGUCGUCAGGAAGUCAUGGAGGCGGAGGAGUACUACACAGACUCACAAGGCGAAAGCGAGCCCAUGACGGAGAUCGAGAUGGGGACGGCGCCAAGGCGGUUCCCAUACCACGAGCUCGUGGAAGCGACGAGGAACUUCGCCGCGGAGGAGAAGCUUGGGCAAGGUGGCUUUGGCACCGUGUACCAAGGCUAUUUGAGAGAGCCAGCUGGGCUUGCCGUGGCCAUAAAAAGGUUGCAAUCUUCCAUACAAGGAAAGAAGGAGUACAAAUCCGAAAUCAAGGUGAUAAGCAGGCUGCGUCACCGGAACCUCGUGCGGCUCAUCGGCUGGUGCCAUGGCCAUGAUCAGGCGCUCCUACUGGUCUACGAGCUCAUGCCCAACCGUAGACUCGACAUCCAUCUCCAUGGCAAGAAGGGCACCUUCCUCACAUGGGAAAUGAGGAUGAAGAUAUUGCUGGAGCUUGGGUCUGCGCUGCUCUACCUCCACGAGGAGUGGGAGCAAUGCGUGCUUCACCGGGACAUCAAGCCCAGCAACGUCAUGCUUGACGAGUCCUUUGGAGCCAAGCUAGGCGACUUCGGACUCGCAAGGCUCGUUGACCAUGCCGCUGGGAUGCAGACCAUGACUGCAAUCUCGGGAACUCCAGGCUACUUGGACCCCGAUUGCGUGAACACCGGCAAGGCCAGCGCCGAGUCCGACGUGUACAGCUUCGGUGUGGUUCUACUGGAGGUGGCAUGCGGCAGGAGGCCGAUGAGCAUAACCGCCGCCGACCAGGACAAGCAGAAGAGCGGCGGAGUCUUCCGUUUAGUCGAGUGGGCUUGGGGACUUUAUGGCCAGGGAAUGAUCCUUGAGGCCGCCGAUGAGCGCCUGAACGGGGACUACAACGCGGCGGAGGUGGAGAGGGUGAUGGUCGUCGGGUUGUGGUGCGCGCACCCAAACCCAAGCGUGCGGCCGUCCAUCCGGACAGCCAUGGCCACGCUCCAGCCCAAGGUCGACCAAGCCUACCAGCUGCCCGUGCUUCCUUCCAAGAUGCCAGUGCCCAUGUAUGAGCCGGCGCCGCCGCUCGCCUGGGCCAAUGUCGUUGGGAUGUCAUCAUCGUCCACGUCGUCCAGCAUGCCGAUGCACACUUCUUGUACCACAACCUCCGACGCUAGCACUUCGACGAACAGUUCGAAGACCUCUUCUUCACUACUCAAACAUCAGUAG